rnacentral:rRNA from 1 species
GGUUUGAUCAUGGCUCAGAUUGAACGCUGGCGGGAUGCUUUACACAUGCAAGUCGAACGGCAGCACGGACUUCGGUCUGGUGGCGAGUGGCGAACGGGUGAGUAAUGUAUCGGAACGUGCUCAGGGGGGAGAAUUCACGCUGAAAAGCAGCUAAUACCGCAUAUUGCCCUUCGGGGGAAAGCGGGGGACCUUCGCCUCGCACUAUUAGGAGCGGCCGAUAUCGGAUUAGCUAGUUGGUGGGGUAACGGCUCACUAAGGCGACGAUCCGUAGCUGGUUUGAGAGGACGACCAGCCACACUGGGACUGAGACAUGGCCCAGACUCCUACGGGAGGCAAGACAGCGGGGAAUUUUGACAAUGGGGGAAACUCCGAUCCAGCCAUCCCGCGUGUGCGAUGAAGGCCUUCGGGUUGUAAAGAAUUUGGCAGGAAGGCAAGAAACGGCACGGGAUAAUACUCCCGUGCAACUGACGGUACCUGCAGAAUAAGCACCGGCUAACUACGUGCCAGCAGCCGCGGUAAUACGUAGGCAAGCGUUAAUCGGAAUUACUGGGCGUAAAGCGUGCGCAGGCGGUUCGGAAAGAAAGAUGUGAAAUCCUGUGAGCUUAACUUUUGGAACUGCAUUUAACUACCGAGCUAGAGUGUGUCAGAGGGAGGUGGAAUUCCGCGUGUAGCAGUGAAAUGCGCAGGAUAUGAGGAACACCGAUGCGUAGUUGCAGCCCCUGGGAUAACACUGACGCUCAUGCACGAAAGCGUGGGGAGCAAACAGGAUUAGAUACCUGGUAGUCCACGCCCUAAACGAUGUCAACUAGUUGGGGCCGGGCCUUGGGUAGUGCAGUUAACGUGCGUGAAGCUGACCGCCUGGGGAGUAAUGGCCGCAAGAUUAAAACUCAAAGGAAUUGACGGGGACCGCACAAGCGGUGGAUGACAGAUACCCGAUGCAACGCGAACCCACUACCUUUGACAUGUCUGGAAUCCCGAAGAGAUUUGGGAGUGCUCGCAAGAGAACCGGAACACAGGUGCUGCAUGGCUGUCGUCAGCUCGCCGUGAGAGUUGGGUUAAGUCCCGCAACGAGCGCAACCUUGUCAUUAGUUGCUACGAAAGGCACUCUAAUGACUGCCGGUGACAAACCGGAGUGGAAGGUGGGGAUGACGUCAAGUCCUCAUGGCCCUUAUGGGCAGGGUCUCACACGGUCACAGGUAUUGUCGACAGAGGGUCGCCAACCCGCGAGGGGAAGCGUAAUCCCAGAAACCCGGAUCGUAGUCCGGAUCGCAGUCUGCAACUCGACUGGGUGCGUGAAGUCGGAAUCGCUGCAAUUCAGAUCAGCAUGUCGCGGUGAAAUACGUUCCCGGGUCUUGUACACACCGCCCGUCACAUCAUGGGAGUGGGUUUUACCAGAAGUAGUUAGCCUAACCGUAAGGAGGGCGAUUACCACGGUAGAGAUUCAUGACUGGGGUGAAGUCGUAAUAAGGUAA